UGCCCAGCAACUCCUAUCCCUACCUCCUCGGGAUACUGGCCGGGGUACGAGUAACCUUAGGGAAGAUCGGUUAACCCCGGUGGGAACUUUGGUCGUAUGCUGACAGGGAAGG
rnacentral:ribozyme from 1 species